rnacentral:rRNA from 1 species
AAUUCGCCCUUACUCCUACGGGAGGCAGCAGUGGGGAAUAUUGGACAAUGGGCGAAAGCCUGAUCCAGCCAUGCCGCGUGUGUGAAGAAGGUCUUCGGAUUGUAAAGCACUUUAAGUUGGGAGGAAGGGCAGUAAAUUAAUACUUUGCUGUUUUGACGUUACCGACAGAAUAAGCCCCGGCUAACUACGUGCCAGCAGCCGCGGUAAUACGUAGGGGGCGAGCGUUGUCCGGAAUCAUUGGGCGUAAAGCGCGUGUAGGCGGCCGACCAAGUCCGAUGUGAAAGCUCGGGGCUCAACCCCGAGUCUGCAUUGGAAACUGAUCGGCUAGAGUCCGGAAGAGGAGACUGGAAUUCCUGGUGUAGCGGUGAAAUGCGCAGAUAUCAGGAAGAACACCGGUGGCGAAGGCGGGUCUCUGGGACGGUACUGACGCUGAGACGCGAAAGCGUGGGGAGCAAACAGGAUUAGAUACCCUGGUAGUCCACGCCGUAAACGAUGGGCACUAGGUGUGGGAGGUGUCGACUCCUUCCGUGCCGUAGCUAACGCAUUAAGUGCCCCGCCUGGGGAGUACGGCCGCAAGGCUAAAACUCAAAGGAAUUGACGG